GGUGGGAUUAUAAUCAUCUAACAUGUAGAAGGAGUAGGGGGCUGGUGGUGGGAUUAUAAUCAUCUAACAUGUAGAAGGAGUAGGGGGCUGGUGGUGGGAUUAUAAUCAUCUAACAUGUAUUCCUUCAAUGUUCUCCCUGUCUCAAUAUCUGCCUCACACACACACACACAGAUGUGUGUGUCUCGCUCCAGUGUCAGUGUGACCUACUACAGAAGUCUUGCUCCCUACUCCAUGUCUGCCAGAGGCCAUAGUGAGACAGUCAGAGUCAACGGAGACUGAGGCUGUGAAGGCGGAGUCGGUCAAGGAGAAGGAAUGAGGAAGUGGGGGGGUCUUUCUCUGACUCCUCCCAAACCAGUACCAUGGAAACGGAGGAUAUUUUUUUCCAGGAUUUUGUAAAAUGCUGAUUUUUGUUUGUCCUGUGAUACUAGCAAAGAUAACCAGCAGCAACCCACGUCCACACUCCUCCUUACAGUAGUGUGUCUCUCUCUCUCUCUCCUUUCCUAAAAGACAGAAUUAAGUGACAUGUUUUUAUAAAAUGGCCGCAAGUAUUCUUCCUCUGGCAGUGGGAGUCACCAUGGUCACCACCAGCCUCAUGGGGUCACCAUGGUGAUGCCUCUCAGUUCCUUUCUAAACAACAACCCUCUUGACCGCGGUGGCUCUUUUGUGAUGACAUCGCUGUAAAUUAAGUGGACCUUCCACCUCUGACCUCAGAGACCCAAGGGUCAGACUAGGCUCCUAUGACAUCACAAGUGACCUUUGACCCUGACCUGAGGUGUUGCCAUGGUGAAUAUUUGCAGCUUUUUAAACAGAUGUAGAAGUGUUCAGAAUCGCCAGCCACUCUUGUGUUGUAAUUUGUGAGUCUGUGGUUGUCUGUCAGAGCAGACUGUUCUAGAACUCUGGCUUCCAGAACCUCUGGGUUCCACCCUGGUUGUCUGUCAGAGCAGACUGUUCUAGAACUUUGGCUUCCAGAACCUCUGGGUUCCACCCUGGUUGUCGUCGA